rnacentral:rRNA from 1 species
UACGGGGAAGGGGCAAGCGUUAUCCGGCGUGACUGGGCGUAAAGAGUCCGUAGACGGUAAAGUAAGUUUAUUUGUUAAAUGUUAAAACUUAAUUUUAAUAGAGCAAUAAAUACUGCUUUACUUUGAGUUUAAUAUAGAAAAGUAGAAUUUUAUAUUGGUAGGGGUGAAAUCCGUAGAUAUAUAAAGGAAUGUCAACAGGCGAAGGCAACUUUUUGGGUAUAAACU